UUUACCCGCUGAACUUAAGCAUAUCAAUAAGCGGAGGAAAAGAAACUAACAAGGAUUCCCCUAGUAACUGCGAGUGAAGCGGGAAAAGCUCAAAUUUAAAAUCUAACAGUUUCACUGUUCGAGUUGUAAUCUGGAGAAGCAUUUUCCGUGUUGGACCGUGUACAAGUCUCUUGGAAUAGAGCGUCAUAGAGGGUGAAAAUCCCGUCCAUGACACGGACUACCGAUACUUUGUGAUAUGCUCUCGAAGAGUCGAGUUGUUUGGGAAUGCAGCUCAAAAUGGGUGGUAAAUUCCAUCUAAAGCUAAAUAUUGGCGAGAGACCGAUAGCGAACAAGUACCGUGAGGGAAAGAUGAAAAGUACUUUGGAAAGAGAGUUAAACAGUAUGUGAAAUUGUUGAAAGGGAAACGCUUGAAGUCAGUCGCGUUGUCUGAGACUCAGCCUUGCUCUUUUGCCUGGUGUAUUUCUUAGUUAACGGGUCAACAUCAAUUUUGGUUGGUGGAUAAAGGUAGAGGGAAUGUGGCAUUCUUCGGGAUGUGUUAUAGCCCUUUAUUGCAUACACUGACUGGGAUUGAGGAACGCAGCAUGCCUUUUUGGCCGGGGGUUCGCCUCACGUAACGUGCUUAGGA
rnacentral:rRNA from 1 species